AUAAAGCCAACAAAAAACAGGGUGUGAAGAGUAGAUACUUUGGUGUUAACAAAUACCGAGAUGGUUUUUGGACUUGGAAAUUUUUGUUAUCGAAUUACUAUGUCUACUCUCUAACACACACAUACAUUAUAUCUCUCCCUUUUGGUGGAUGGAUUAUGAACUUCUCUAUUAGUUUCUAUAUCUAUGAUAAUAUUAGUAAAUUUUAUUAGAACAAUGAUAAUUUUAUUUCACGUUCUCAUUCUCUCUUUAAAAUGGUGAUGAUUAAGAUCAAUACUUUGCACACUCUCUAUCUUUGGAAUGGUGAUUAUUAAUACAUUUAUUUCUCUCUCUCUUUCUAGAAUGUUGAUGAUGAUAUUACUAGAAAAUAUUUUUGGAAUCGUGUGAUGAUAUUUUAAUUCCAAAUUUUAGUGGAAUUUUGUGACAGAAAAAGAGAAAUGAUAGUUUAUAGGCAACUACUGAUAAAAUGUUGAUAAUGCAUUUCCAUAUUUCUUCCAGACAUAGCCAAACAAUAGCAAUCAGUGGUCGCAAAUCCAGCCAGUCCGAACCGAAACGGCCGGUUACAUCGGUACCGGCAAGGUACCGACUCCAAUUAAGGCCAGUUUUGUGGUAGUAAUGGAUAUCACGGUCUCUCCAAAAAAAUUGGUACUAAAACUGACUGGUUUAUGGUCGAAUCGGCGGAUUUCAUUCAAAACAGGCUAGGUUUUGCUAACCGGUCCAGUUUAUCGAUAUAACACUCGAAAUAAUGUAAAAAACGGUAUAAUCUCAAACAAUGGCCAUUAUUUGACACAGCGGCCAUUAUUUGUAACAGAAACCAUGAAUC
rnacentral:lncRNA from 1 species